rnacentral:sRNA from 1 species
GUAUUGUAAUUGAACAACAAUUUUUAUACACCAUAAUCUCUAAAAACCUCUCUAUUUUGGAAAACUAUGCUUCAAAUUUUAGGCUGUACUUUUAUAAUAUCCAUUUUUUUUCUCUUAUCUGCUUUAUUCACCCAUGUUCUUUCUCUUAGCUUUUCAAAGCUAUUUUGAGAUGAAAUGAGGGUAUCUGAUAAAAAAAAAUGUAAGAGUAAGUCUAGAAUAUAUAUUGAUAACCAAGAGAAGUAUGUAUAAUUUGUACAUUGGUACCUUUUGUUUGUAGAAAAUUUAUAUGUAUAUGCCAGUGUCCAUUCAGAUCUAAUUUGCGCAAGUUCUUGUGAACGUUUGGGAAUUAGAAAUCCAUACCUUUAAUCUGCAUGAAACGAUAAUACUCAUCUUUAUGAAUAAAAGGUCCUUUAUUUCAAGAGGUUAUGCCAUAAAUAUUGUAUUUUAAAAUAUUGCUAUUAUUUGAAAGUCAUGGAUAUGAAAAAAGGGGGAAAAAAGCAAUCGAUAUAGUACAUAGUACAUAUAGUUAUUAUGGAAUAGUCAUUGCAAUGGCCUUAAAGAAUAUAAUGUCCCUUGGAAUGGAUUUGAAAAGGUCCCAAAUGUAAGAGUGUUAUCUCUAUGCAACAAUCUAUGACUUUUGUUAAAUAUUGCACUUCAUGUAUUGAUCACAAAAAUAAAAAUAAAACC